UCUGAACAAAUUUACAAUGGCAGUGUAUGCGAAAUAAGCCAAAAUUUCAGCCAGUCAUCAGGAAUAGUAACUUGAAAAUGUUACCAGCCUAAACUGGAUUUAACCAGACCAGACAAUUCAAAGAAAAUAGCUCAAUUUUUAGUUACAAUGAAUAAUUUAAUGA